CACGUAUCUUCCAACGUGCACUUAGAGAAGCAGCCGGCCAGCACCCCCGAGGCUUCGCAGCGCCUCGGCUUCCCCGCGCUGCUCCUCAGGCGGGGGCAGGCGGAGAUCCGGAGAGGAGGCCAUGCGCCGGGGAGAUAAGCCUUAAAAAAUACCGGUUUGAGAUCUGACAGAAUUAAAGAAAAAAGAAAAUGCAAGACUUUAUUAGGUGACUUCACACCCCAGCCUUGGCUUUCCAGCUUAAUAAAGAAACAAGAUUUAUGAUGGAAAUGAACCUGCUAUUCCCACAGGCACUCACUAGGAGCAUCAUAGGAUAGGACAGGAGCAAGCAAAAAGAAGGCAAGCUGGGGAAAGAGUGCCAAGAUGUGGGUACUUGACCAAGACUUAACAGAACAAAAAAAAAAAGAAAGAAAGACACGUGUUACAGUUGCAAAAUCUUCAGCGGGUUCCCCCUGUGGUCCUCGCACCAGGAAGAAAAACAAUGGUAAAUGUGGACGUGGUGCUGAAGCACAAAAGCCAUGUUGCAGGGUAGCUGGAGAUGUGAGAUUCACUCAGACUUCGGAAAGGAUUUUUCUGGUUUUUGUUUGCUUUUCUCAUGUGGAAUAACACCAUUAAUGGAGUUAACUUUGAAACUUUUUUUCUGUACUUAACUUGUUGACUGUGUAACCGACCGCCAUUGUUGCGAAAACAGGCUUAAAAAGAGACCUGUUGGUUCAGCAGUGGCCAUCAGCUUUUCUGUAGGUCCUGCACAGCAGAAGGUGACGGGGCAGUGCUCCAAGGUUUGGUAACGCCAUCAGCCAGAGCCCCGCAGCUGUGGUUCAGUGAAGACUGUGCAGUCCCAGAACACGGACCAGUUCACUCUCCCCUAAACUCUGCAGGAGCUUCCUGCUUCACUUUUUACAAAGAAGAUGGCGUACGCUUCAGCAACGAGUUUGCUGAGCAAGGUGGUGCCAGCUGUACACAGCAUGUUGCUGUUUAUCAAUGACUAAGCUUAAAACCUCCUUACAGAUGUCUUUGAGUUGGCUUUGCAUCCCCCAAAUGAUGCACAGAGUUUUACUUGGUGCUCUGGGAAGGGGUUGUAGCUUUCAUCAAGCCCUGGGCUGCCAUGGCAAAACUGCGAGCAGCACACAAGAGGCCAAGUACCAAAAGGAUAGCAGGACAUCCAAUACGCAAACACUUAUUCAGCUAGUUUAAUGAUGGUAAUGAUUUACUGAGCUAAAAUAAUAUGCUGCUGUGGGUGCAAAAUUUUACAAUAUGUGCAUGCUUUUAAGUGGCAAAAUCAGAAAAGACUUCCCACUCCCAGGAAUAUAUAAAAUAAAAAUUAUUAAAAUAUUCCUACCAUAAGUUAGUGUACAAAAAUAAAAACAAAGGAAGACUCAAAGCAGGUCAGUGACAGUGGAGUAUGUGUUUUCAUAGUGAAUUUAAUUACUGAAGCCAAACCCAACUAUGUGCUUUUGCACACAGCUUUCUUGUGGAAGAGCUUCAGCAGACUUGACGGCACACAUUGACUGGACAGAUUUAUGUCAGGGUUUUCUCUGCUAAAAACCACAUCUGCUAGAACCAUGAAAGGUAAAAUAUGUGGAAGACAAUAAAUGUAAGGACUAAGUCAGCAGUUUCUCCAAGAUGUUACUUACUCCAGCUCAUAUAAUCUGAAGAACUGUAACACAGCCAAGUAUAAUGGCACAUUUAUCUAAAAUACAAAGUUUAUAUAUUUUACAUGUUGUACGUCCUGUAAAUUUAUUACUUUUUUUUUUUUACAGUUGAAAAUAUAAAUACAAGAACAUUAAAUAAAUUUACAAGAAACAGUGCAAAGGCAAUUAGCCAAAUAGUUAAAGCAUUCACAAAAAUGCAUUCCAGCUACUAGCAUUCCAGUACUGUUUUUUUAUUAAUAUGCAGUUAAAACCUUAUGGAUAAAGACAAGAAAUACUUCAAAUUCUCACUUUAAAAGCAUAUUCAGAGUAGUCUUGGACACAGGUGACCAAAAGACCCCAUGCAUUGCACAUAAAACCACAAGAGGGUUUGAGUACUGAACAGAUUCAAUUGCUGAACUACAGCAGAGCCCCAGACAGGAGGCAUUUUUCUGAUGCCUUUUACUGAGAAGAGUGUUUCCAGAGCUUCCUACUGAGUCCCUCUGGGAAAGCAAAGCUCUUGGUCCCCUCCUGCGUGCAUCUGCCUGAAAAAAUCCCCUUUACAGGGCCUGGCACUCCACAGUUUGAUGCCAGUUUGUUCCAGCUCUUACUCCAGGAGUAUCCAACCUUUGGCCAAGAGCACAAGAUAAAAAAAGUAAUCGCCACAGCUGCAUGCCUGCAUGAGGAAGAGGAAGCACAACCUAACCUUCUGUUCAGGAAGAAUCUUCACAAUGUCAUAUGGGCUUUCAGCUGCUGUGCAUGAAGGGCCAAAACUCAGCUUUUUCAGACAACUGUCAUAAAGGGAAUGAAAUUUUGCUUCAGGAAUUACUGAGCUAGGGCCUCAGGAUUUGGCUUCCAACCAAAGGCCAAAGUAAAAGCAGAAAUACUCAUCAGAAUAGCUAAAAAGCUGCCCCUUAAAAAACAGCCACACGAUGGAACAAACAAUUUCUCAGCUACUAAAUACAGCAGCUAGCAAUUAUUCUCUGUAUUUUUUCUUCAAAAAAUAACACUUCUCUACUUUUAUUUAUCACUGCAAAUGAGAAAUGGCAGUGUGCUUAAUCUCUGGAACCACCAUGCAAGACAAAAUAUUGACCGUGCUGAAGUCAAUGGCAAAAGCACACAUUGACUUACUCAAGCCACUAACAAAACUUAGUUGUAUUUUAUAACCUGCUGACUACUUUAUUUAUCAGUCCUUUAUUCAUGGCACUCUAUUUUGAUGAUACCCAGUUUUAUCCCUCUAAGGCAUACUAAGAGGUCACUAAAGGUUCGAGACCAAUAGCGUUUAUAUUUACAGUUCUGUGUCUAGUGAAUAUAUUUUAACCACUGUAAGUGAUUUCACUUACUGAACAAAUAAACUUCUGUAUCAUUCUAUAUUAAAGUUAAUUAUUUCAAUUAAAGAAAACUGCAAACUUAUAAUAAAAGUUAAAAGAAAA